CUUGAGCUCAGGAGGUUGAGACCAGCUUGGGCAACAUAGUGAGAACCUGUUUCUAUGUAAAAAAAUUAAAUUAAAAAAUGUACUUACAGAAUACUCAUAAUGAACUUUAUUAUUGUAAGAAUAAUAACUUUUGACUGUAUAGCAGCAUUUUUAACUUUUCAAAGUGUUUUCCUAUUUUCCUAUAUAUAACCCCCCAGAGGGGGGCAGGGGAGGUCUCAUUACCUCCAUUUUAGAGAUGUAAUAAAGUCCCCGAAGCUUAAUGACUUGUGCCAACUACAUCAUAACUUAGUGGUCAGGAGUCAGGACUGGCACGCAGGUCUUCUGACCUCAUUUCACUGUACAUUUGGUGUUCUAAGAUCCAAGACACAAGAGGAAGCUUUAUUAAAGUGUCCUUUAAAAAUGGACUUGAGCCGAAAUCAGCGCCUUCCAAGCUUCUCCACAUGCUGUUGAGUGUGCUGUGCAUUUGCUCCUGAGAGACGAAAGCACAGAUAAAGAUGCCCUGCACACUGGGAGAGAAAUGGGAAUCUUCAAAACAAAGGAAUCUCAUUCCUCUUCUGUUCAUCCCCUUCAAUUUUCUGAUCCUUUCCCUCCACUCCCUCUUUCUUGUAAAGACUUAAACUCUGAAAUAAUUAUAUGAAAUUAAGUCAGUAAAAGCCAGGCUCGUUUCCUUAAGAUUGAUGUGUUAACAUUUGGGGCAGUUUUCUCAGGACUCAGGGAGACGAUUAUUUCUGAGGUUGGCUGCGGGAAGCUUCCUCUUCUCUAGGGAGGGGUGAGGUUCCCUCCCAGGACACCUCCCUCCGUGACACAGCCUAACUGUUAGCAGAAGUUCAUUUAAAAAGUUGGUUGAUUUUUUUAAGUGCUGGAGACUUUUCUCCUUUUAAUUCCGGUCAUAACUACCCACUGUCCAAAAAAAGGAGACACAGCAGGCUCUAAACUCUCUCUGAGACUGAAUGCAAAUUGAGUGUCUGGGAGUCUGAGGGAGGUGCGGGAAACACUUUCCAGCUCCACUGUCCUGUUUUUAUCUGUAGAUCAAGAUAAGCGAGCGGGUGGAUUGUUAGCAAAAAGGAAUCUCUUCAUGCAAAUUAUAAUUCUCUUAAAAAAAAAUAAGCAUGAAGGUGUGACCCUGCCUGUCACUUAUCAAUCUGUGCAGUAAAACUAAUGGAAGGUUGGAAGACUGGGAUCCUUUGCAUUGGAAAAUGGCUUGAGUGCCCGUGCUGAAGCCACGCUGAAUUUCCCGUGUUCCUGCAGCAGCCUGGGAGGAGACCGGCAGGGUCACAUUCUAGUGGUGCCUGCCUGCCCUGACACAUCAUUUCUAAUUAUGACGCCUUUGUAAACCCCUUCCCUUUUGCUUCAUAGGGCUUGUAAAAGGUACCCGCAAACCUCUGCCUUCCUGUGCCUCUCUGCCCCGAGGUAGAAAUCCUCCUCUUGCAGGAAGUGCAAAGCAAAGUUCAAAGCUUUCUUAGUCAAAAGAAAGUGCGCCUGAUCCAGGAUAACAUGAUUAGGCAACAAUUAGACCAGAAAAAAAAAAAAAAGCCAGGGCCCUGCAUCACUGGCCAGUGCUGGCCUUCUGCAAUCUCUGCUCUUCUAAAAGAUACUUAUUAUUUCCUUGUUCAGUAUGAAGAUGCAAACCCAAAUUGAAUACCAUUUAGGGUCAAAGCCACAAGCAGCUUUGGGCUGUCAAGGGAUGGAGAGCUCUGAUGAGUCUGUGAUGGAAUGUCCCCACCAAACACAGAGGCUAAGGGAUGGAGCUUAAGAGAGGGAUGACAAAGAAAGGAAGCAAGGGUCCACAGACCCAGGGCAGGCCCUGUCGCUCUGGUGACUUUCUGAAUGACCGCCAGACUUGUUUCCCCGCUAUAAGACAAGCCCAGUUCAACCCACGUUAAAAGGGGGUUAAAAGAGGUCAUAAAUCUUUCUGGGCACUGAAGAUCCAUGGAAAACGUGGCCUGAUGUCUCUGACAUCUGUUUUGGGUUCUCAGCCUCAGCUGGCCCCACUGCCCUUUCUCCUGCGAUAACUCACAGGCCCCAUUCAGGCCACCGAGUGGCAGGUAUAGAGUGUCUCCCCUCGGAGUACUGGGGAUGAGGGGUGAGCGUCCGGGCAGCAGGCGAGCCCCCAAGGCUGGCCUGCUGACACCGUAAGUCUAUACCCAGGGGCUGGUGGAGGGGAGGCUGUGGGAUUGAUGGUGUAAAUGGGCAGCACACACAGCCUGCAGAGGGGAGGCCGGCGGUGGGUGGGAGAGCGCUGGCUGAGGUUGGUCACACGGAGAUUGAAUUUCAGCUGAAUUAGAUCAGAGCUGUGGGAAACAGCACCUCCUUCACACACACAGCCGGUCUCAUAGGAAGAUGUGGGAGGGCGGCUGGGGAGACAGAGGCAGGCAGCUGCGAUGAAAUACCGAAGUCCGCUCACAGCAGCUAACAGCUAACUUAAUUACUCUACUACCUCUCCCCAGCGCACUGGCCAGAAUUCACAGACCCCAGGGUUUUAGACUGAAACGCUCCAUGGUGCCAGGGAAAGAUGGGGUGGUCAGCAUUUAAAACACACCAUGGUUUGGGAGUGAGGCUGCGUGUGUCUCUAAAGGAGGAAAAGCGUGAUUAUGAAAGUACAGGAAAGGCAGGGAACUUUUAGAUCCACAGCUGCAGAAGGCAAACUCCGGAAAGGACUUACGUGGCUUUCACUGCUACCUUUAGGGUUUGAUGUUUUAUAGCAUUUUAUUAACAUGCAACGCAAGCUCUCAAUACCAUAACUGUGUUCGCUGCUGCUGCUGCUAGGAACUGUUCCUCUAAUCCCCUUUCUCUGCUUAAUAACCUGACGCCAUUUCAGUGACCCAGAAUACCAGCUUUUCUUGGGAGGCCUUGGAGGAGUGGAAAAUUGGGAGAAAGUUUUAGAAUUAAAAUGGGAACACUUGCAGUCCUAUUAAAAAGGGCAAGAAGUCAGCUGCUUUGAAAUCCACCCCCUCAGCAGGGGUGGGGAAAGCCUUUCCAGGAGACAGUGGGAACACAUUUGUUCCCUAAGCUGGCACCAGAGUGGCUUUCUCCAGGGCAGCCAGGGCCUGGCAUUCUGUAUACGCCAUUUGAAUCAGGGAGCCUUCAAAUGAUCCUUUUUUCUCUUCCUGUCACUCAACAACAGGCUGGCGGCAAAAAUUUCUACGGCAGUUUCUCUUGAACCAGGCAGAAAACAACCCCUGAGGCUGCUCGGUGCUCCCUAGUCUCCUGGUUUGCAUUGCACAUCCAUUUUGAGCCUGCUGCUACUGAUGAGAAAAUGACCUCAAACAACUGCUCACUAAAGGUCCCAUGUCGUCACGAUGCCGGGGGCUUUCUGCAUAGCGCUCCGCUUCUCGGACUGAGCAGCUUCUGGAGUUUUGUACAAUGCCUGGGCCUGAGGAAACCUGCCAGGAUAUUCCUGGUAGGAUGAAUGAUCAUCCCCCUGUAACAGACAGAGACACCCAGAGCAGAGACAGAGUCCACACUGUGGGAUCUGACUUAAUGUUUGAAUUCUUAGGAGCUCACCACUUCAUUGGAUUUCUCAUGAUUGAAAAAAAGAGACCACUAGAAUCUGGAUGAGAUGAGAAUUUAGGUGCUGUUUUAGAUUCUCCUAGAUUAGGUGGAUACCCAAAAGAGUGUGUGGAAAAACUGCAGGGAGGGCCGGGCGCGGUGGCUCAUCCCUGUAAUCCCAGCACUUCAGGAGGACGAGGCGGGCGGAUCAUCUGAGGUCAGGAGUUCGAGACCAGCCUGACCAACAUGGAGAAACCCCAUCUCUACUAAAAAUACAAAAGUACCCGGGCAUGGUGGCACAUGCCUGUAAUCCCAGCUACUCUGGAAGGCUGAGGCAGGAGAAUCGCUUGAACCCAGGAGGUGGAGGUUGCAGUGAGCCAAGAUCGCACCAUUGCACUCCAGCCUGGGCAACAAGAGUGAAACUCGGUCUCAAAAAAAAAAAAAAAAAAAAAAAAAAAACCUGCAGGGAGUCUGAGUCCUCUGAAAUGGGAUGAAAAAUUUAUAUGUAAAAAUUGGGUAUAUUUCCUCCAGCCCCAGGAAGAGAGCCCUGUGUAUUCUGUUGAACAGAUCUGCUGAUUUUCAAGAUUCCAAGACUCCUCCAGACUUAAGAACUACUGUUUUAUAUUAAAUAUUUUGCAAAGGUAAUUUUAAGAGGGAGCAUUGGUUUCCCUCAAUCACGGGCUCUGCAAAGUACAAUGCGCUGUCUACUGUAUACUUUGCCACAUGGAGCCUGGCUGCUUGACUCAUGUAACUCAACGUAAACAGUAACUGGGAGAGGACACACACGAGCAGGCAGGGUAUGCCCACAGGGUCACUGCUGGACAUGGCUAUGCUGCAGCUAGCGUAUGGCUCUCCCUUGGAUGGAUCUAUUCUGUUAAUACCUCUGUCCCAGAAUGUGUAGUCCCAAAGUGGUGCUCUGGGAGGACGUAUUAAUGAAAAGAAAGAGCAUAAAUGAGAACCUUAAAGAGUUUACAGGGUUCAGGCUUGAUAAACCUCUUGGGUAAGAAAGGUAGGUAGAUAUAGAGCAAGAUUUGCAUCCAUCACAUUGGGAAGAAUGUACACUGGCCUGUGGGUACAAACCCCUUUCUGCCAGGUAGGGAAUGUUCUUGGGGGAAAGGUGGUUGUCAUAAUACAUCUUAAACAAUAACAAAGAUAACAGAAUCCCAUAGUUUCCCUUUCUGGAGUUGAUGUUUGGAUGCAAAUUACAGGCAUGUUUUGCCUUAAACAAAUCCAGUGUUAGGCCGGCGCAGUGGCUCAUGUCUGUAAUCCCAACACUUUAGGAGGCCAAAGCAGGCAGAUUGCUUGAGCUCAGGAGUUCAAGACCAGCCUGGGCAACAUGGCAAAAUCCUGUCUCCACAAAAAAAUACAAAAAUCAGACCAGGCACGGUGGCUCGUGCCUGUAAUCCCAGCACUUUGGGAGGCCAAGGCAGGUGGAUCACAAGGUCAGGAGUUCAAGACCAGCCUGGCUAACAUGGUGAAACCCUGUCUCUACUAAAAAUACAAAAUUUGCUGGGUGUGGUGGCACACACGUGUAAUCCCAGCUACUUGGGAGGCUGAGGCAUGAGAAUUGCUUCAACCCAGGAGACAGAGGUUGCAGUGAGCCAAGAUUAUGCCAUCGCACUCUAGCCUGGGCAACAAGAGCGGAAACUCCAUCUCAAAAAAAGAAAAGAAAAGAAAAUCCAGUGUUGAUGAGUUGAUUUCCCAAAGCAGAUGAACUGGGAAGUUGGGUGUGGUGAUUAUUUACAUUAAAUAGUAGCUACUGGUGGUCGGUGUGGUGGCUUACACCUGUAAUCCCAGCACUUUGGGAGGCCGAGGUGGGCAGAUCACGAGGUCAGGAUAUCAAGACCAUCCUGGCUAACACGGUGAAACCCCGACGCUACUAAAAAUACAAAAAAAAUUAGCCAAGCGUGGUGGCGGACGCCUGUAGUCCCAGCUACUCGGGAGGCUGAGGCAGGAUAAUGGCGUGAAUCCGGGAGGCGGAGCUUGCAGUGAGCUGAGAUUGCGUCACUGCACUCCAGCCUGGGUGACAGAUCGAGACACCGUCACACACACACACACACACACAAAAAUUAAAUAAAUAGUAGCUACUGGCUGGGCACGGUGGCUCACACCUGUAAUCCCAGCACCAUGGGAGUUGGAGGCGGCUGAUUGCUUGAGGCCAGGAGUUCAAGACCAGCCUGGGCAACAUGGUAAAACCCUGUCUCUACAAAAAAAAAAAAAAAAACAAAAAAAAAAAAAACUAGCCAGGCAUGGUGGUGUGCACCUAUAGUCCCAGCUACUCAGGAGGCUAAGAUGGGAGGAUCACUUGAGCCUAAGGAGGCUGAGGCUGCAGUGAGCUCUGAUCGUGCCACUGCACUCUAGUCUAGAUGACAGAGUGAGACCUUGUCUCAAAAAAAAAAAAAAAGGAAAAGAAAAGAAAAAAAGUAGUGUAGCUACCACUGAUGCAGGACCCACAUGAGCAGAGAGUUAUAUACUUUAUCUCGAGCAAUUCUUCUGACAACACAGUGAAAUGGGUACUAUUUCCCCCAUUUUUCAGAUGAGGAACUUAAGGUUUAGAGAGCUUAAGCUCCUUCCUGAGGAUUACUUUUCUACCAAGUGCCAGAGAGAACCAGCACUGAAAGCCAGAUCAGUCUACCUCCAAAGACUAUGCUCUUAAAUUCUCCAUUAGUCAGCUCCUCAGUGCAGUGGGAUUUGAUGCUUUACCAGAAAUAUCAAGACCCUAAAUGCAUCUUAAACACAAUUUGAUUUUCAAAGGUAGAAAAAAAAAGGAAUGAAGUUUGACCAAGUGCCUAUUGUAUCCAGAUAGUAUGUCAGGGGAUAUGACUAUGUCAUUUGGUAAAAAAUUAAAUUUUAUAAAAUAUUCAAUUCUUGUGGAAUAUCUUCAAAAUACACUUGUCAGUUAAAGUUAGGUACACACAUGCAAAUCAUCCCCCUCAAGUAGUCUCACAAACUAGCCAAAACUUUCCCAGGGCAGAGGGCAGAUUUUGCUCCCUAUUUUAUCCCCUUUGUGCAUGGAAUAUUUGUCUUAGGCUGAUAAAUAAUUAAUAAAUUAGUGCGUAAAAAUAUGAACCUAUUUUGAGGACAGCUAUCAGAAAGCCUUAUUUCUUAAAAUGGAAGUGGCUCACCCUGGCAACCAGACAUGGAGAUAUGGGGAUUGCUCAAUAUACACCCAAAGUAGGUCUUAUGCAGAAGACUAAGAAAGAUGAGAGCGAAAAUAAGACAAGGAUAUGGAGAUAUUGUUUUUGAAACUUGAAAAACUAUACUUUGUUUUUCUAAUGUUUAAUUGUUCCUAUUCAGAUUGGGGAAAUUAAAAGCUCUUACUAGUUCAAAGUUUUACCCGAUGAACAUUACACCUACCCCUUUCAGAGAUCUCAAUGAAUGAGUCCGUCUGUGAUUUUUUUCAGCACUGUGAUCUGAAAGAUAUCCAAACAUAACAUCCCCCUCCUACCCCAGCCCCCUCAGUGCAUGUGUGUUUGGUAAACGUUAAUGUGCCUGGGGUCUUUGGUAUUGGGAAGUUAACAUUCAUUUUUUUGGUUGGAAAUGCAAAUAGUUCAUCAAAAUGUAAUGCUUUUGGUGAACCAGAGAUUGAAAGAAUGAACCAAUUCUGAGGACAGUAAUCAUGGACUUGAUUUGCAGCUUAAGAAAGGUCAUUUCUGCUGAGUAGUAUCCUGAAGCAAAUACUACCAAGGGACGCUAUGGACUUUCUAGACUCGAUAUUCUUAAAACUAUGGAUAAACAUACCUCUUGAGAAAUGCAGGUAUUCACAUGCAAAGAGAGGUUUGGUACAUAUGCUAUCUUUUUUUUUUUUUUCUUGAGACAGGGUCUUACUUUAUUGCCUAGACUGGAGUGUAGUGGCACAGUCAUAGCUCACUGCAGCCUCAGCCUCCCUAAGUGUUGAGAUUACAGAUGUGAGCCACUGCGCCUGGCCUGCCGAUACUAUCUUAAGGGUGCUUGCAGGCCUCUGGUGUGGUCAGAUCUCAUGGGUUGUAAAGUCAUAAAUAAGUUAACUGCUCCAUGUUUCUAGCUGAAUCUCUGUCUGCCCUUAUGUCUUUAGGCCAAUAGCAGAGAGCGGUAGCCUUGGGAAGAGGAAAUAAUCACUGGGCUCAGAGUUCUUCACUGCCUGCUCCACACAUUACAAUUCAGUAUCCCAAUUAGAUUGUUCCAGGGACACUCCCUCCCUUCUUUCCUUCCUUCCACUGACUCAUUCAUCCAUUCAUUCAACAAACAUUGAUGGAGCCCCUCCUAUGGCCUUAUAGCAGCCCCCAUCCGGUGAGAGGAAACACACAAGUAAGCCCUUAGAGUCCAGUGUGCAAUCGAGGGUUAGAGCUGUGCACAGCUUUUGGAAGAGCAGAGUGGAGGGACACCUGGCUGUUGGCAGUCAGGGACAAGGAGAUUUUCCUAGAGGAAGGGAGCUUGAGCUGAGCCUUUAAACUCUUUUUUUUUUUUUUUUUGAGACAGAUUCUCACUCUGUUGCCCAGACUGGGGUAUAGUGGUGUCAUCUCGGCUCACCCCAACCUCUGCCUCCUCAGCCUCCUGAAUAAUUGGGAUUACAGGCAUGCGCCACUACCGCCCAGCUAAUUUUUGUAUUUUUAGUAGAGACAGGGUUCACCAUGUUGGCCAGCCUUGUCUUGAACUCCUGACCUCAAAUGAUCCACCCACCUCGGCUUCCUAAAGUGUUGGGAUUACAGGCGUGAGCCACUGCACCCAGCCUGAGCUGAGCCUUUAAGAAUACAAGAAAAGUUUGCUAGGAAGAAAAGAAAUGGUAAAGCUGUCCAGGCUCUCACACCAUGUGUGAAAGCAUGGGUGUGGGGGUAGAGAGGAGAAGUAGGCAGGGGAAAUUGUGGCAGAGGCCAAGAAGGGAAGUAACCCUGCUUGGACUCCAGGCUGUGUGCAGAGCUAUGAUGGGAGAUAAGGUCAGAUAAGAAUAACAAUUGCUAACAUUUAUUGAACACCUGCUAUUUUCCAGGCACUGUUCUAAUGGAUUUAUGUGUUUUGACUUAGUUAAUCAUGGCAACAGCCUUAUGAGGUGUAUAUAAAUAUUACUACUGUUUUUCAGAUUCACAGGGAGAUCAAGUAUUUUGCCCAAGAGCACACAGCUAGAGAGUGGAGAAGUCCGGAUUCAACCCAGACAGAUUGACUCCAGAGCGUGUGCUAUUCGUGGCUAUGCCAGAAUGCCCUGAUGGCCUCAGGUUUGCCUUGCCAACUGACAAAGGCGACUGUUUCCUACCCAUUGGCUCAGAUGGUUCCAGCUUCCUACCCUUCCAGUUAAAAUAAACAAAAAUGAGGGUCUUGAGUGUCUAUGAUUUUCAUAAGAUCUAUGGCGUUUCUUCUGCAGAUGAUCAACAGUUGUCUGCCUUGGACUUUGGAGUUCCCAAGAACUAGAAAAUCCAGGUCAGGAACUGUAUCUUUGCUCAGCCACCUGCAAACAGACUUGAGAACAAUGUAAACCACCCUCUGCAGGAUAUUGAUUCUGAUGGAGUAAAUGUUGAUUAAGCAGAAUGGUGUUUUUUUUUUUUAACUGGAGGAAUUCCAGAUCUUUCCUUAGGCCUGUCUCUCCAGGGAAAUGAGCUCUAGCCUUAAAAAUCUACAGAAAACCUGAGUAAGAAUGAAGAUUUAUGAUGGGAGACGCUGGGCGGAAGACGGCUGGCUAUCUGGUGGGCUAUCUAGAAGCUCAUCUUUGUGUUAUUAGAGAAACACUCCCGCUCUUGACAGGAUAUGCUCUGCUUAUCACAUAAUCUUCUCAAGUUUCAUUCCCAUUCUGCUUACAAAUGCCCCAAAUAUAAAGAGAUGCAUUUCAUCAAGACAGCCUUUUAAGAGGCAGUUGAUCCCAGCUGUUGCCGUCUAUCUUAAACACCUACCUUUUCACCCUAGUGUGGAGUUUACAUGUCGAUAAGGGAUGUAAAAAAGGGAACUUGAGAAAUCUCAGCAGAGGAAAAACACCGAGCCUGUCUCUGGGGAUUGGAGUAGGAGUAAAGAGCUCAGGAAGCUCUAAGUUCCAGAACACCCCUCCUUUUCAGAGAGGAGCCCUGGGGCGAUGCUGGCCUGCCCCAGGCCUUGAGCUGAUCUCAAAUACCAGGGACUGGAAACCGUUUUCCAGGCACAUAAGCUGAGGAAUUCAUUGCCUGCUACUUUGGCAUUUUCUUGUCAAGAACUGGUGGUAAAAUAGUAGUGAAAGAUGCAGGUAGGAACAGGAGAGCCAGACCUGGAAGGUUUUGGCUCACCCAUGGACCCUCCGUCCUGGCAUUACCCAUGCUCAUCUGUGAUGAAUUCUCAAUACCUGAUUUCAUGACACACAUAUGUAGACCUGGGAUGCAUUCCCAGACGGCCAAGUGGGAUAUGCUGGCAAAUGACCUGUGAGUUUUCUCUCACUCCUGAGUCUGCAAGCUCAGAAAGCCAGGGGCUCUUGGAGGUUGCUAAGUCCAGAAGACUUUUAUGCAGAAUACCGAGGGAGGAGGUUAGAAUUAAGUAUUAAGUGGGCAAAACAGGAGGGGUCAUUUCAGAGUCCUGCUUGGGUCCUGGUGCAGCCUGUUGUAGCUGAUAGGGGUGGAGGCAGGGAGGUAUCUCCUUUGUUGAAGAAAUAAGCCUGUGACUGUGAAUCCAGUCUGCUCCCUCCUAAAGACUGGGCUGCAGUGUUUGAAGUCGUAACUGGUGUGUUUCGGGAAGCUGGCUGCAUCAGGUUCCCAUUAGCCCAGGCAGCCGCACCAGUGGGUUCACACCAUGACAUGGUAACAAUUAAGCCUUCUGCUACUGGUCCUUACCCUGGGGUGAGGCUCUUUUCUUUUUUACCAAUGUGACUUAAAGUUGCCCUGGUUUCCUUGUGGCUCGAUUUCCUGCAGAUUCCCGUUACUUUAUGUCUAAUCUUCUGAGACCACUCAUUAGACCACACAAAUUGUAACAAUUGUCUCCAGCACACAGAUCCUGUUCCAGACCCUCAGUGUACCUAGGAAAAAGACUAUCUCUCUGAAACGUGAGAGUUACUUCCUGUGUAAAUAGACGAAUUCCAAAAAAUCAGAGGAAAAAUAUUAGGGAAAAUAAACUAAUUAUACUCCCAUACCCUGAGGCAUUCUAAAAUUAUUUUCUUCCUUUAAAAAAAAAAGCAGUGGGUUAGAACAAUUAUUUCCAUUUUCAGUGAUGAGAGAGAUGAUACAUGUACAAAUGACUGUAGUAUGAAGCAGAAAAACGAAAAGAUAUCAUUAAAUUCUAUGGUUUUUCCAAGCAAGAAAAAUAUUUCUUUAUAGAGAAUAAGCCUGAUCAGAGAAAUUGCCAUUUGAGCUGAAACUUGAAAAAUAGGUGGAAUUUGGAUAUAUAGAAGUUGGCGGAAAGAAGAAAGAAGCAUUUAGGAGAGGGAACAAAAGCAACAAAAAUGUGGGCAUUUUCAUAGGACUUACUGUAGCUUAAGCACUGAUAGACGCUGUGGGAAGUAAAAUAAUGUAUAGAUGCCUCUCGAUUUACAACGAAGUUACGUCCUGAUAAGUCUAUUGUAAGAUGAAAAUAUUGUAAGAUGAAAAUGCAUUUAGGCGAUGGGCACGGUGGUUUAUGCCUGUAAUCCCAGCACUUUGGGAGGCUGAAGGGGGCAGAUCACCUGAGGUCAGCAGUUCAAGACCAGCCUGGCCAAUAUGGUGAAACCCCAUCUCUGCUAAAAAUACAAAAAUUAGCUGGGUGUGGUGGCGCAUGCUUGUAAUCCCAGCUACUCAGGAGGCUGAGGCAGGAGAAUCGCUUAAACCUGGGAGGCGGAGGUUGCAGUGAGCCGAGAUCACGCCACUGACUCCAGCCUGGGCUACAGAGAAAGACUCUGUCUCAAAAAAACCCAAAAAACAAAAAACAAAAACAAAAAGAAUGCAUUUAAUACACCUACUCUACUGAGUAUUAUAGCUUAGCCUAGCGUACCUUAAACAUGUUCAGAACACUUCCAUUAGCCCAUACUUGGGCAAAAUCAUCUGGCAAUGCAGUGCACUGUAUAGUGUCAGUUGCUUACCCUCGUGGUCCUGUGGCUUCCUGGCAGCUGUGGCUUACUGCCCAGCAUCGAGAAAGAGAAUCACACUGCUUUCUACUGAAUGUAUAUUCCUUUUGUACCAUUGUAAAGUUGAAAAAUCUUAAGUUGAACCAUUGUAAGUUGGGGACUAUCUAUAAGACAUAGGUCCUGCCUUCAAGAGGCCUUCAUUUGAAUUGAAGUGAUAAAACAAACACAGGAUAGAAAUAACUUAGAGAACAAUGUAAGACAUGUAUGACCUUAAAUCACUGCAGACCUAGGUAACAUUUAAUUGUGGUAUGUAGGUGAUAAUAAAUAUGAUUUCAAGUAGGGAGUUGUCAAAGUUUGGUGAAAUAGCAAGACCAGAUUUGAGGGGGGUGAUGUUUAGUUAGAUGCUUAGGGCUGAAGGAAAGUCAUUAAAACAAAGGAGAAAGUGAAUGAAUUGAGAAUAAGGCAGGCCACAUGCUGCAGACUAGUGGUUCUCCAGCUCCAGCGUGCAUCAGACUCAUCCAGAGAACUCGUUAAUAACAUACAUGUCCCUGAGCUCCACAGCAGACUUUCUGAUUUAGUAGGUCUGGUAUGAGGUGUGAUGAGUUGCAUUCUGGCAAGCUCCCUAGUGAUGCUGGUGCACCUGGUCUGGAAACUCACACUUUGUGAACUGCUGUGGACAGAUCAGCAUGCCCAGAGCACAAGCAUUUACUUGGGGGAAAUAGUGGGAAAUCAAACUGUACAAGGGAAGUCCACCAGAGAAGUAUUAAAAAUCAGUUUGCUGUUAACUCUCUUCAUUUUCCUGAUUGUUGAUUCCUCAUCUGAACAAAACCAUAAACACUCUUGACUUUUUCUAUUCCCAAAUGGCUUCUUGGUUUAGCAUGAAUUACUGAGAAAGAAGAAAAUCAUGGUUUUAUGCCUCCAGAAGAAACUACCAUGGUUAAAGCUGGAUAUCAUUUCAGAAGACAGGUUCCAUGAAUCCCUCUGCAAGAUGCAUGUUCUUAAAUAGCUUUACCCCUUCCAGGAAGUGUGAUCUGUUAUGGGACUGGUGUUAAGGAGCUUUACACAUUGAACAGCCACUGUCAGAGCCAACCCCCUUAAAACCCAAGUAUUAAAAACACCAACCAAAGAGACAUAGCAAAAUGAUGCACUAUUUCUUUGCUUUCCUAAGAGAUCCACAUCACUUAUUAUCUCAAAUGUUUUAUAAAUAGCAGUUAUAACCCUUAUUACAUUAUCUUUUCGCUUUUGCAUAUUUAAAUAAAAACUUAUCAUUGUUUCCCCCUAUUUUUACAGAAAAAAGAAGUAAUCUGAUGGGGGAAAGAUGUCCAAACUUGAAAACUUUUUAAAAAUGUCUUUAUUCUGUUUGAAGUAAAACAACCUCAUAAUCUUCUUUCUACUCCAUGGGGUUUUUAAAAUGAGUUUCUCCUGGAGUUUGUUAGCUUGAUGGAGGUGGAAAUGUUUUACUGUAGACAGUUUCUUACAAGUGUUUAAAGAUCAAGCUGUAAUAUCAUAUAGUCUGUAGACAGAAAUGUGCAGUGCACUUUCCAAAAUUUUCUUCAGUCCUUUGACUAUUAAAGAUAAGAGUUGCGUAGUAUGCAAAUGACAGUGAUUAGAGAAUAUCGCAAUAUACACAGUUAAUAGCAUGAUUCAUAUUUAUGAAGUACUAAUUUCAUAUAAAUACCAAAAAUAUAUACUGAUGAUACUGUUCAAAUUUUGAAUUGAGCAAAUAAAACUAGCUAGGAAGAGAAUUUAUUUUAUAACAAUGAACCACAUUUAUCAUUUAUUAUCUUUUCUCAUGAUUUAAUGGGUGAAGGAUAACUAAAGUAAAUAACUUUUAAGGUAUUUCUUUAUGUAGAAAUAAAUGACAUAUUUCAGUUCCAUAAUGAAAUUAGAACUGAUACGGUUUGGCUGCGUCCCCACCCAAAUCUCAUCUUGAAUCAUAGUUCCCAUAAUCACCACAUGUCAUGGGAGGGACCCAGUGGGAGGUAAUUGAAUCAGGGGGGCAGUUUUUCCCAUGCUGUUCUUGAGACAGUGAAUAAGUCUCAUGAGAGCGGAUGGUUUUAUAAAGGGCAGUUCUCCUGCACAUGCUCUCUUGUCUGCUGCCAUGUAAGAAGUGCCUUUGCUCCUCUUUUGCCUUCAGCUAUGAGAUUGUGAGACCUCCCCAGCCAUGUGGAACUGUGAGUCCAUUAAAUCUCUUUUUCUUUACAAAUUACCAAGUCUUGGGUGUUUCUUCCUGCCAGUAUGAACAUUAACUAAUACAGGGACUAAAGGUGCUCAUUGCAGUGCUUAGAAAGGGAAUUUUGCAGCACAGGUGAGAGAUAAGAAACUGUUACAUGCGUUGAGAGCUGGACAGGAAUUUUCAGGGGCUGGGUUGAUUGUGGCACCUGCCUGGAAACCCAUAGUUGCUUAAUGACAGGGUGAGGCCAGAAUCCUGGAUUUGUCAGAAUUGCUGACUCCUUCACUGGGACCCUCUCUAGACUAUACUAAGGAGCAGCUUCUUUUUAGAAGAGAAAUUUUUUUUGCUAAAUUUAUCUCAGAUUUAUUACGUACUGACAUUUAUUACCUCCCUUACACAUUAAGCAUCUUAGUAAAAAAUAACAUCUUGAGUGAAAAUAAAUUGAAUACAAUAAAGAAAAUUUGAUUUAUCCUCUAACCCAAUAUCAAAGAUGAUGUUUUGCUGGGCGCGGUGGCUCAUGCCUGUAAUCCCAGCACUUUGGGAGGCCAAGGCGGGCGGAUCACCUGAGGUUGGGAGUUCGAGACCACCCUGACCAACAUGGAGAAACCCCAUCUCUGCUAAAAAUACAAAAUUAGCCAGGUGUGGUGGCACAUGCCUGUAAUCCCAGCUACUCGGGAGGCUGAGGCAGGAGAAUGGCUUGAACCCGGGAGGCGGAGUUUGCAGUGAGCUGAGAUCGCGCCACUGCACUCCAGCCUGGCAACAAGAGUGAAACUCCAUCUCAGAAACAAAAACAGAAACAAAAACAAACAAACAAAAAAACAAAGAUGGUGUUUUAAUUUUGUUUUCCUUGGCCAUGUGUAUUUUUCUGUGAAGAAAAUUUAUUUAAUUGAGAUUAGGUUUCCUUUUUUUUUGAGAAAGAGUCUCACUCUGUCACCCAGGCUGGAGUGCAGUGUCCUGAUCUCUCUGGUCACUGCAACCUCCACCUCUCAGGCUAUAGCGAUUCUCCUGCCUCACUCUCCUGAGCAGCUGUGCUCAGGAUCACAGGCACCCGCCAUGAUGCCCGGAUAAUUUUUGUAUUUUUAGUAGAGAUGGGGUUUCACCAGGUUAGUCAGGCUGGUCUUGAACUCCUGGCAUCAAAUGAUCUGCCUGCCCACCUUGGCCUCCCAAGACCUGGGAUUACAGACAGACUUGCGCCACCGUGCCUGGCCAGGUUUCCAUUUGUUUUUGACGUACGGCACUUAUUUUCAGUCUCAUGUUAGUGCAUUUGUAUAUUAUGUUUGUGAGCUGCAGACAUGGGGUUCUCCAGCAUAAUACAUAAAGUUGUUAGUGCAACCCAUGUCAGGUAUCUGUCUGAAGGAAGAAGACUAGAUUUUAAAUAAAUAUAUCAGUUGAUUCAUUCAAUGACUGCACUUGCUUUCUGUACUCGCGUGGGGAGAACAUACUCAUAUUUUACACUGUAUUGCUCAAAAGUCUUCUAGAACCCCUCCAGUAUUUGUCCUCAAGCUAGCUGUUGAGUUU